rnacentral:rRNA from 1 species
AACGAACGCUGGCGGCAUGCCUAACACAUGCAAGUCGAACGAGACCUUCGGGUCUUGUGGCGCACGGGUGCGUACCGCGUGGGAACCUGCCCUUAGGUUCGGAAUCCCUCCCCGAAAGGGGUGCUAAUACCGGAUAAUCUCUUCGGACCAAAGAUUUCUCGCCUUUGGGUGGGCCCGCGUUGGAUUCGCUAGUUGGUAGGGUAAAAGCCUGCCAAGGCGACGAUCCAUAGCUGGUCUGAGAGGAUGACCAGCCACACUGGGAAUGAGACACGGCCCAGACUGGGAGGCGAGGCAGCAGUGGGGAAUAUUGGACAAGGAGCGAAAGCCUGAUCCAGCAAUGCCGCGUGAGUGAUGAAGGCCGUAGGGUUGUAAAGCUCUUUUACCCGGGAUGAGAAUGACAGUACCGGGAGAAUAAGCACCGGCUAACUCCGUG